rnacentral:rRNA from 1 species
AUUGAACGCUGGCGGCAGGCUUAACACAUGCAAGUCGAACGAGUGGCGGACGGGUGAGUAAUGCUUGGGAAUCUGGCUUAUGGAGGGGGAUAACGACGGGAAACUGUCGCUAAUACCGCGUACCAUAGGAUGAGCCCAAGUGGGAGUGGGUAGUUGGUGGGGUAAUGGCCAACCAAGCGGACGAGCUCGAGCUGGUCUGAGAGGAUGACGGGCCACACCGGGAGUGAGACACGGCCCGGAGGCCUAGGGGAGGCAGCAGUGGGGAAUAUUGCGAAAGGGUGGCAACGUGACGCAGCCAUGCCGCGAGAAUGAAGAAGGCCUUCGGGUUGUAAAGUUCUUUCGGUGACGAGGCGUUAAUCACAGAAGAAGCACCGGCUAACUCCGUGCCAGCAGCCGCGGUAAUAC